CAUCCAUUUGAUAACCAUCAAUCAAAUGAUGAUUAUCUUUGAUUUAUUAAUGUGAAUUUUGAAAUGAUAAAUAGCCAUGCAUGAGUGUCACAUUUGAGGAAGAUGACUCACUAAACUACCAUUUUCAAGAUGUUUGUGAGCUCUGACAUGUAUGAUGACUCCUUUGAUAGUUAACUACAAUUUUAAGAAAAAUGGUGGUAACUCUUCCAACAUACACAUGUCACGGUUAUAUGACAAUCCAGGCUGUCCAAUUGCUUGCCCAAUUGUGUUCGGAGCAUAAAGUUACACAGGUAACCACAUAUCCGGGCCAUCCUAAUUGCUGGCCCAACUGAUAUUUCAAUUUGGCCCUUUGGAAUUUGAGCCAAUCGUUGUUUGACUUUUAACCAUCAAAUGGAUGGUUAGGAUUGGUUGAUUAGUGGGAAUUUCGUCACAUGGUCCAUUCACUAGGCCCUGAACAGGCCUUCAAUGCAGGAGGAACUAUUCCUAAAUCAUUGAAAUCUGUAAAAGAAACCGUUGUAUCCAUGCUUCAGCUUAAAUCAGAAACAGCUGGGGCUGAAAAUCAAAACAGGGAUUUUCUUCAUCAUUGGUGUGGUGCUAAAUGCAGCUGCCCAGGACCUUGCCAUGCUCAUUAUAGGAAGGAUCUUCCUGGGGUGUGGAGUCGGCUUCGCUAAUCAGGUCUUUUUCUAGUUCCACUUCCGAUUUAUUCUUUAUUUUAUUUUAAUUCAGUUCUGUUUAAUCAACGAAUCUGGCCCACCACCAAUUUCCCAUAUCGAAUUACGGUGGUGGUGCGGACCGGAACUCACAAUCCAUCUUGGGCUAGCUGGGAUCCCAACCCUCCUCCUGACCGUCGGCUCCAUUCUGGUUGUCGACACUCCUAACAACCUCAUAGAGCGUGGCCACCUCAAAAAAGGGAAGGCAGUGCUCAAGAAGAUCUGUGGAACCAGCAAUGUUGAGCCUGAGUUCCUGGAGCUUGUGGAGGCAAGCCGUGUGGCCAAGGAAGUAAAGCACCCAUUCAGGAACCUCCUCAAGCGACGCAACCGCCCACAGCUGAUUAUUGAUGUGGUCAUGCAGUGAUCCAUUGUAGUACCAAACACCCACAAUGAUUAACGAUGUGGGUCAUCUUCAUUGGAAGGAUGUGGUGUCACUGCCGAAUGAUUUAUCUACCCAUGUCGUACUUGUAUGGGAAGAGGUUUGUUGGUCCAAUCACACCAUUAAUUUUGUCAUUGAGAAAGGAGCUCUACAUGACCCCGUAUCAACAAGUAGAUUGGAAUCAAGCCCGCAAUUUUUGUGCAAAGGACGAUUGUUUACAAAGGUCAACUAAAUCCAGAUCAGCUAAAUGGCUACUAUUAUGGAGAUCUUGGCCAGGAAAGGUUUACAAGCUACAUGGCCCUGGUAAAUAUACUCACCAUUCUCCAUAAUUUUUGAUCAAAAACUCCACAUUUUAACAGCAAGGAAAAAAAAAUUGGGAAUUCAUUGGUGAAGGGACAUACAUAAGGUUGAGCAAUGAGUUG